AAUUGCAACCAUACCAAUAUUAAUACAUUAGAUCUCAUCAGAACUCUACAGGUAAGCAUGCUUGGAUGAAAGUAGUAUUAGAAUGAGUGACAUCAUGAGAAGUCUUCGUGUUGCACAUC
rfam:Lupinus angustifolius cultivar Tanjil chromosome LG11, whole genome shotgun sequence.